GCUGUACCUCUGCAAAGCUUGUCUUGUUUGCAAUACCUCAUUCCUAACUGGAUCAUUGUCUGGCAGGUGGCAGCUGCACAUUGUGAGUACAUCUAGAGCAGGAUCAAGUUCCCACCUAUGCAUAUACUUGAGGGCAAGUCUAGCUGCCAAUUGUUUAUUCUUCAAACGCAAGCAAUACUGCCAGCUAUUGCUCCAGAUGCUUUGGCCUCCAUAACCUUGAGGCUGGCCAGGCACUGGAUGGUUUUCUUCUCCACGUUCAAUGAGUAGUUGGAGUAACAGGUCUGAGGCUCCCUCACGUAAAUAGCGG
rnacentral:misc_RNA from 1 species